rnacentral:rRNA from 1 species
CCUACGGUGUGCUGCAGUGGGGGAUAUUGCACAAUGGGGGAAACCCUGAUGCAGCGACGCCGCGUGUGGGAAGACGGUCCUCUGGAUUGUAAACCACUGUCCCCAGGGACGAAGAUGACGGUACCUGGGGAGGAAGCUCCGGCUAACUACGUGCCAGCAGCCGCGGGAAUACGUAGGGAGCGAGCGUUGUCCGGAAUUACUGGGGGGAAAGGGAGCGUAGGCGGGACUGCAAGUUGGGUGUCAAAUCUACCGGCUCAACCGGUAGCCGCACUCAAAACUGCAGUUAGUGAGUGAAGUAGAGGCAGGCGGAAUUCCUAGUGUAGCGGUGAAAUGCGUAGAUAUUAGGAGGAACACCAGUGGCGAAGGCGGCCUGCUGGGCUUUUACUGACGCUGAGGCUCGAAAGUGUGGGGAGCAAACAGGAUUAGAUACCCUUGUAGUC